UGGGGAAUUUUGGACAAUGGGCGAAAGCCUGAUCCAGCAAUGCCGCGUGUGUGAAGAAGGCCUUCGGGUUGUAAAGCACUUUUGUCCGGAAAGAAAUCCUUGGCUCUAAUACAGUCGGGGGAUGACGGUACCGGAAGAAUAAGCACCGGCUAACUACGUGCCAGCAGCCGCGGUAAUACGUAGGGUGCAAGCGUUAAUCGGAAUUACUGGGCGUAAAGCGUGCGCAGGCGGUUUGCUAAGACCGACGUGAAAUCCCCGGGCUCAACCUGGGAACUGCAUUGGUGACUGGCAGGCUAGAGUAUGGCAGAGGGGGGUAGAAUUCCACGUGUAGCAGUGAAAUGCGUAGAGAUGUGGAGGAAUACCGAUGGCGAAGGCAGCCCCCUGGGCCAAGUACUGACGCUCAUGCACGAAAGCGUGGGGAGCAAAACAGGAUUAGAUACCCUGGUAGUCCACGCCCUAAACGAUGUCAACUAGUUGUUGGGGAUUCAUUUCCUUAGUAACGUAGCUAACGCGUGAAGUUGACCGCCUGGGGAGUACGUCGCAAGAUUAAAACUCAAAGGAAUUGACGGGGUCAUAGCUGUUUCCU
rnacentral:rRNA from 1 species